rnacentral:misc_RNA from 1 species
GGGUGAUUGAAUAUCUCUUAGAGAGCUUUUGAAAAUGGAGAAGCAACGUAAAUCAAAGAACAAGAUCCUCAAGUUUUUAUUACCCAAACCAGCUUCUGCAGUCUCCUUCCAAUUCAGCCCUGGUAGAGAUAAACGAUCUGAGAAUCACUUCCACAGUCUCAAAGCUCAUGUCGAUAAAGGAUUUUCUGGUCCCAUUGUUUCCAUCAUCCCCGAUGAAGUUCGACGGAAACCCAAGAAUGGAAACGUCGAGUCCGAAGAACCCACCUCGCCUAAAGUGUCCUGCAUGGGCCAAAUCAAACUCAAGAAGAUGGUAAUUAGCAAGGCCAAGCGGGCUUUGCCUCAAGAAACAAAGGCUGUACCGUCUCCACGUAAGAUAAACAAACAUGCGUCGACGAUUAAGAAGCUCUUUAGUAGUGCAAAACCAACUGAUAGGAGGAGAUCCAAUGCUUCUAUCUAUGAGAAGCAGCCACUUUCUGAAAGAGCACCUGCUUUGAGUCGUGAUACGUUUGCCAGCAUUGACUGGACGGAUCAUAUUUCGCCGGUGG